GCCGCCAUCGUCUAAUGGUUAGGACACUACGCUUUCAAUGUGGUAAUAGGGGUUCGAUUCCCCUUGGCGGUA
rnacentral:tRNA from 3 species